rnacentral:rRNA from 1 species
UACGUAGGGGGCAAGCGUUGUCCGGAAUCAUUGGGCGUAAAGAGCGCGUAGGCGGCCCUGUAAGUCCGCUGUGAAAGUCAAGGGCUCAACCCUUGAAUGCCGGUGGAUACUGCAGGGCUAGAGUCCGGAAGAGGAGAGUGGAAUUCCUGGUGUAGCGGUGAAAUGCGCAGAUAUCAGGAAGAACACCCGUGGCUAAGGCGGCUCUCUAGUACGGUACUGACGCUGAGACGCGAAAGCGUGGGGAGCGAACAGG